rnacentral:tRNA from 1 species
GGGCUGGUAGUGUAGCGGCCUAACACGUCGCCCUGUCACGGCGAAGACCGCGGGUUCGAAUCCCGUCCAGCCCG